GGGUUGUGAGGUUAAGCGACUAAGCGUACACGGUGGAUGCCCUGGCAGUCAGAGGCGAUGAAGGACGUGCUAAUCUGCGAUAAGCGUCGGUAAGGUGAUAUGAACCGUUAUAACCGGCGAUUUCCGAAUGGGGAAACCCAGUGUGUUUCGACACACUAUCAUUAACUGAAUCCAUAGGUUAAUGAGGCGAACCGGGGGAACUGAAACAUCUAAGUACCCCGAGGAAAAGAAAUCAACCGAGAUUCCCCCAGUAGCGGCGAGCGAACGGGGAGCAGCCCAGAGCCUGAAUCAGUGUGUGUGUUAGUGGAAGCGUCUGGAAAGGCGCGCGAUACAGGGUGACAGCCCCGUACACAAAAAUGCACAUGCUGUGAGCUCGAUGAGUAGGGCGGGACACGUGGUAUCCUGUCUGAAUAUGGGGGGACCAUCCUCCAAGGCUAAAUACUCCUGACUGACCGAUAGUGAACCAGUACCGUGAGGGAAAGGCGAAAAGAACCCCGGCGAGGGGAGUGAAAAAGAACCUGAAACCGUGUACGUACAAGCAGUGGGAGCACAGAGCAAUCUGUGUGACUGCGUACCUUUUGUAUAAUGGGUCAGCGACUUAUAUUCUGUAGCAAGGUUAACCGAAUAGGGGAGCCGAAGGGAAACCGAGUCUUAACUGGGCGUUAAGUUGCAGGGUAUAGACCCGAAACCCGGUGAUCUAGCCAUGGGCAGGUUGAAGGUUGGGUAACACUAACUGGAGGACCGAACCGACUAAUGUUGAAAAAUUAGCGGAUGACUUGUGGCUGGGGGUGAAAGGCCAAUCAAACCGGGAGAUAGCUGGUUCUCCCCGAAAGCUAUUUAGGUAGCGCCUCGUGAAUUCAUCUCCGGGGGUAGAGCACUGUUUCGGCAAGGGGGUCAUCCCGACUUACCAACCCGAUGCAAACUGCGAAUACCGGAGAAUGUUAUCACGGGAGACACACGGCGGGUGCUAACGUCCGUCGUGAAGAGGGAAACAACCCAGACCGCCAGCUAAGGUCCCAAAGUCAUGGUUAAGUGGGAAACGAUGUGGGAAGGCCCAGACAGCCAGGAUGUUGGCUUAGAAGCAGCCAUCAUUUAAAGAAAGCGUAAUAGCUCACUGGUCGAGUCGGCCUGCGCGGAAGAUGUAACGGGGCUAAACCAUGCACCGAAGCUGCGGCAGCGACGCUUAUGCGUUGUUGGGUAGGGGAGCGUUCUGUAAGCCUGUGAAGGUGUGCUGUGAGGCAUGCUGGAGGUAUCAGAAGUGCGAAUGCUGACAUAAGUAACGAUAAAGCGGGUGAAAAGCCCGCUCGCCGGAAGACCAAGGGUUCCUGUCCAACGUUAAUCGGGGCAGGGUGAGUCGACCCCUAAGGCGAGGCCGAAAGGCGUAGUCGAUGGGAAACAGGUUAAUAUUCCUGUACUUGGUGUUACUGCGAAGGGGGGACGGAGAAGGCUAUGUUGGCCGGGCGACGGUUGUCCCGGUUUAAGCGUGUAGGCUGGUUUUCCAGGCAAAUCCGGAAAAUCAAGGCUGAGGCGUGAUGACGAGGCACUACGGUGCUGAAGCAACAAAUGCCCUGCUUCCAGGAAAAGCCUCUAAGCAUCAGGUAACAUCAAAUCGUACCCCAAACCGACACAGGUGGUCAGGUAGAGAAUACCAAGGCGCUUGAGAGAACUCGGGUGAAGGAACUAGGCAAAAUGGUGCCGUAACUUCGGGAGAAGGCACGCUGAUAUGUAGGUGAAGUCCCUCGCGGAUGGAGCUGAAAUCAGUCGAAGAUACCAGCUGGCUGCAACUGUUUAUUAAAAACACAGCACUGUGCAAACACGAAAGUGGACGUAUACGGUGUGACGCCUGCCCGGUGCCGGAAGGUUAAUUGAUGGGGUCAGCGCAAGCGAAGCUCUUGAUCGAAGCCCCGGUAAACGGCGGCCGUAACUAUAACGGUCCUAAGGUAGCGAAAUUCCUUGUCGGGUAAGUUCCGACCUGCACGAAUGGCGUAAUGAUGGCCAGGCUGUCUCCACCCGAGACUCAGUGAAAUUGAACUCGCUGUGAAGAUGCAGUGUACCCGCGGCAAGACGGAAAGACCCCGUGAACCUUUACUAUAGCUUGACACUGAACAUUGAGCCUUGAUGUGUAGGAUAGGUGGGAGGCUUUGAAGUGUGGACGCCAGUCUGCAUGGAGCCGACCUUGAAAUACCACCCUUUAAUGUUUGAUGUUCUAACGUUGACCCGUAAUCCGGGUUGCGGACAGUGUCUGGUGGGUAGUUUGACUGGGGCGGUCUCCUCCUAAAGAGUAACGGAGGAGCACGAAGGUUGGCUAAUCCUGGUCGGACAUCAGGAGGUUAGUGCAAUGGCAUAAGCCAGCUUGACUGCGAGCGUGACGGCGCGAGCAGGUGCGAAAGCAGGUCAUAGUGAUCCGGUGGUUCUGAAUGGAAGGGCCAUCGCUCAACGGAUAAAAGGUACUCCGGGGAUAACAGGCUGAUACCGCCCAAGAGUUCAUAUCGACGGCGGUGUUUGGCACCUCGAUGUCGGCUCAUCACAUCCUGGGGCUGAAGUAGGUCCCAAGGGUAUGGCUGUUCGCCAUUUAAAGUGGUACGCGAGCUGGGUUUAGAACGUCGUGAGACAGUUCGGUCCCUAUCUGCCGUGGGCGCUGGAGAACUGAGGGGGGCUGCUCCUAGUACGAGAGGACCGGAGUGGACGCAUCACUGGUGUUCGGGUUGUCAUGCCAAUGGCACUGCCCGGUAGCUAAAUGCGGAAGAGAUAAGUGCUGAAAGCAUCUAAGCACGAAACUUGCCCCGAGAUGAGUUCUCCCUGACCCUUUAAGGGUCCUGAAGGAACGUUGAAGACGACGACGUUGAUAGGCCGGGUGUGUAAGCGCAGCGAUGCGUUGAGCUAACCGGUACUAAUGAACCGUGAGGCUUAACCUUACAACGCCGAAG
rnacentral:rRNA from 1 species